rnacentral:rRNA from 1 species
UACGGAGGGUGCAAGCGUUAAUCGGAAUUACUGGGCGUAAAGCGUGCGCAGGCGGUUUGUUAAGUCCGCUGUGAAAUCCCCGAGCUCAACUUGGGAAUUGCAGUGGAUACUGGCAAGCUGGAGUAUGGUAGAGGAAGGUGGAAUUCCCGGUGUAGCAGUGAAAUGCGUAGAGAUCGGGAGGAACACCAGCGGCGAAGGCGGCCUUCUGGACCAAUACUGACGCUCAUGCACGAAAGCGUGGGGAGCAAACAGG